UCUUGAGAUGCUCGACUGAUGGGUGCAUUGAUUUGCAUAACUUAGUUCUUCUCACGGGGAAGGAAUGAGUCCCGUCUGUCUGCCUGGGGAGGGUGACAUUGGAAUGCCGUUCUUAGGCCUCUGUGAGAUGUUCUGAUGUCUCAUUCUCCAGAGCAAGGACUCUGUCCAUUUAUGCCAGCAAGUGCUUGAUUCUUUACCCAACUCCCUUCCUGAAAGCCCCUUGCAGCUCUCUGGUGCUUGGGCACGAUCCAAGCCAAAAAUUCUGUACAUUGCAUGGGUACAAACCGACGGGGGCUCUGGUCAAGUCAUGGAGUAGAUGGUGGUCCAGGAGUCCUGGUUGGCACCCCCAAGGCUAGGUCAGAUUUGGGGCCCGGGCAGUCCAGGAGAAGUGCAUUUAUGUCAGCUUGGGGAGGUCGCAAAUCCGUGCUGUGUCCAAGCCCACCAGGAAUGGAUUCAGGUGUUCAUAGGUGUAGGGAUUCACCAGGUUUAACCCAGGCCCGUGUGAGCACCACUGGCCCUAGAAUUAGCCUCACCUGGCGCCGGCCUUUUUGUGAUGGCUCCUGAUUAAAUACCCACUAAUUCUGGAUCUGCUGGUGACCACAGAGUUCACCUGAUGGGUCCCCUACAGGCAGCAUUCAAUCCAGGAAGUGCCAGCAUCACAUGGUGACUUCUGGUAGCUGUAACAUUUAGUGACUGUCUCCAUGUCAUGCACAGGGGUGACAUCGAGACCCUCUUAUGCCUGGGAAGUUCCUGCUGUCAAUGCAGAAUAUUCUCUUUUUUUUGUCUUUUGUUUUUUUUUUGAGACGGAGUCCUGCCCUGUCACCCAGGCUGGAGUGCAGUGGCGUGAUCUCGGCUCACUGCAAGCUCCGCCUCCUGGGUUCACGCCAUUCUCCUGCCUCAGCCUCCCGAGUAGCUGGGACUACAGGCGCCUGCCACUGCGCCUGGCUAAUUUUUUGUAUUUUUAGUAGAGACAGGGUUUCACUGUGUUAGCCAGGAUGGUUUCGAUCUCCUGACCUCGUGAUCCGCCCGCCUCAGCCUCCCAGAGUGUUGGGAUUACAGGCGUGAGCCACCGCGCCCGGCCCAGAAUAUUCUUUGAAAAAAAAAAAAACAUUAGAGAUGGGAUUUCACUGUGUUGCCCAGUCUGGUCUCAAAUUCCUAGCCUCAAGUGAUCCUCCCAUCUUGGCCUCCUAAAGUGCUGGGAUUACAGGCAUGAGCCACUGUGCCCAGCCUAGAAUAUUCUUUUUUUUUUUUCUUGAGAUGGAGUCUUGCUCUGUUGCCCAGGUUGGAGUGCUGUGGCACAAUCUCGGCUCACUGCCACCUCCUCCUCCCGAGUUCAUGCCAUUCUCCUGACUCAGCCUCCCGAGUAGCUGGGACUACAGGUGCCCGCCACCAUGCCCGGCUAAUUUUUUUUGUAUUUUUAGUAGAGACAGGGUUUCACUGUGUUAGCCAGGAUGGUCUCGAUCUCCUGACCUCGUGAUCAGCCAGCCUCGGCCUCCCAAAGUGCUGGGAUUACAGGCGUGAGCCACCGCGCCCGGCCCUUAGAAUAUUCUUGAAUUAUUUUAUUUUUUAUUUUUAUUUUUUGAGACAGAGUCUCACUGUGACACCCAGGCUGGAAUGCAAUGGCAUGAUCUCAGCUCACUGCAACAUCAAUCUCCCAGGUUCAAGCGAUUCUUGUGCCUCAGCCUCCCAAGUAGCUGGGACUACAGGUGUGUGCCACCACACCUGGCUAAUUUUUGUAUUUUUAAUAGAAAUGGGGUUUCACUAUGUUGGCCAGGCUAGUCUCAAACUCCUGACCUCAAGUGAAGUCCCACCUCAGUCUCCCAAAGUGCUGGAAUUACAGGCGUGAGCUUCUGCGCCCAGACUAUUCUUGAACAAUUUAACCUGUUUUGGACUCAAGGGUACCUGGGUGGCUCUGGUUCCCGCCCUGGUUUCCCUGGGAGUGCUUGUGGCCAUUGGGAUACUCCCAAGAAGGUGAUCCAAGGAGCUGAGAAGGGGAGGGAUCAGCUGCUCAUGGGGCCAUGGCCUGUUGCCUCCAGGAGGAGCUCGCAGCCCUCAUCGCUGAGCUGAAGCAGGAGCAGAAGGUGGAUGAGCUCAUCGCCAAACUGGUGAACAACCGGACCCGAAUCGUCAUGAGUGCCCCUUCCCUCUGCCCCUGCCUGGGACCGGCCACCUUCACUUUCCUGUAGAGCUCAGUUCUCAUUGGUCCUUUACAGAAAACCAUGCCUUCCAUAUAAAGCCAGAACUCAAAGCAUUCCGGGGCGGGGUGGGGAAAGCGCAAAUCCUCUCAGGGGAAUUCAACCCAGUUGUCGUUAGGACUGGCUCCAAGUUGGCUUUUGUCCUCUGUGUCCUUGAGACUGAGAUAACCCAGGACUUGAGUCUCGGGGGUAAACAGCUCAAAGCAUGGGUGUGACUCCUCCGCCCCUGUGCCACCUGUGUCUGCUUGACCUUGCCAGCCUGUCAUGGUGCCCUCCCAGUACCUGGGUGCGCAGGCGUGGAGAGGCUGGCAGCCCUGGGCCCUGGCUGAUCUCCCGAAAUGAGAGGCACAUGGGGCUGGGAGGCAUAGUGCCCCGGCCCUGGAGGUGGCUGUGAAACAGAAACAGGAGCCGGGCAAGAUCCAGAAGCACUCGGCCUCCCUCAUUUACCCUCCUCACCCUUGCGCGGCAGGCGGUACCAGCCCUGCCUGGUGGAGGCGGAGCUCAGGGUUCUGCAGGGAGUUCUGGCUCCCUCACAGCAAAGCCUGCUCGCCCAGGGCCUUCCUGCUUUCCUUCAGUUGUGGAACUCUGGGAUAUGCACAUUUAAUAGCUGAAAUAGGCAAAGUGGGGUGUGGUGGCGUGCAUCUGUAAUCCCAGCAACUCGGGAGGCUGAGGCGGGAGGAUUGCUUGAGGCUGGGAGGUCAAGGCUACAGUGAGCUAUGAUCGUGCCACUGUGCUCCAGCCUGGGCAACAGAGUGAGACCCUGUCUCUUAAAAAAAAAAAAUUAAAACAGGCCAAAACAGAGCCUCUCCAUUUGAAAUGGGAGCUGGGGCCACCCUCCCCACGGCCACCGCCAGGGCUCCGCAUGCAUGGGGUGAACUCCCUGCCCGGCGCCAGGCCAUGCAGCCUCCCCUGAGACUCAGGUCCCAGGACCAGCCCGGUCAGGAAGGCCCUGGGGACACCGAGGCCAGCCAGACAGAGCCUGGCAGCUCGGCUGUGACUCUGCAGUGACCAGCCCUCCCUGUCCCAAAAUGAGUCGGAUGUCUUCAGCUGGGUGAUCCGCCACGAGUUCCAGGAGCUGCGCCACCCGGUGGACGAGGAGAAGGCCCGCUGCCUGGAGGGGAUAGGGGAUCACACCCGUGGCCUGGUGGCCUCCCUGGACACGCAGCUGGAGCAGGCCCAGGGAACCCGGGAGCGGCUGGCCCAAGCCGAGUGUGUGCUGGAACAGUUCGGCAAUGAGGACCACCACGAGUUCAUCCGGAAGUUCCACUCCAUGGCCUCCAGGUAAUAACCUUGGAGAGAGCUCAGCCAGGGUCUGGUGGCUGCGGGCACGGGCAUCUCAGCUCCACUGGUUCCUCCAUUCGGUUUAACCAGCGCCUCCCAAGCAGCUGCCCACAGCUGGCUCUAUAACUGAGCCUGGGGAAGACAGAGGAAAGUCACGUCCCUGCCUUCAAGGGUCUCGCAGACAGGUGGGGAGGCAGAUGGUGAACUGUGGGUACCUAGAACAGCAGAAGUUCACUCAAGCUACAGAAAUACUAGAGGAGGGUAGCUCAUGCCUGCAAUCCCAGUACUUUGGGAGGCCAAGGCAGGAGUAUUGCUGGAGGCCAGGAGUUCGAGACCAGCCUGGCCAAUGUAGUAACACCCCCGUCUCUACAAAAAAUACAAAAAUAAAAAAAUUAGUUGGG
rnacentral:sRNA from 1 species